rnacentral:rRNA from 1 species
AUACGUAGGGUGCGAGCGUUGUCCGGAAUUACUGGGCGUAAAGAGCUCGUAGGUGGUUUGUCGCGUCGUCUGUGAAAUUCCGGGGCUUAACUCCGGGCGUGCAGGCGAUACGGGCAUAACUUGAGUACUGUAGGGGAGACUGGAAUUCCUGGUGUAGCGGUGAAAUGCGCAGAUAUCAGGAGGAACACCGGUGGCGAAGGCGGGUCUCUGGGCAGUAACUGACGCUGAGGAGCGAAAGCAUGGGUAGCGAACAGGAUUGGAUACCCUGGUAGUCCAUGCCGUAAACGGUGGGCGCUAGGUGUAGGGGUCUUCCACGACUUCUGUGCCGUAGCUAACGCAUUAAGCGCCCCGCCUGGGGAGUACGGCCGCAAGGCUAAAACUCAAAGGAAUUGACGGG